GCAAACCAAUCGCACGAUGGGCUCAGCCCAAGGCGAAGGAAGCUUAGGCGAUGGCAGGUCUGUGAUGCCCCUAGAUGCCCUGGAUCGCACGCGCAAUACAAUGGCGACUCAAACGCGCAGGUUCGUCCGAGAGGACUUACAAAUCGCACAAAAAGUC
rnacentral:rRNA from 1 species